UCUGGAGGUAGCCGCGAAGGAUUCGGGGAAACCUCCGCGGGCCCGGAGCCGGCGACUCGGAGCGGCGCGGUCGGGUGGCGAAGGCCCAGACCCAGGCUCCCGUAGGGCAGCCUGGGGCCGCUGGAGCUGCGGAUCGCGUUCGGGCGGUGAUCCGGGGCCUGGAGGCGUUGAUGCCAAACAACCGCCCCAGCCACCACCUGUCAUCAUCUUCCAGGACUCCCCGCAGCGGUUGCUGGUUUCCGUAGUCAGGACGGCCCCCCAUCAAGCCAUCGUGCGGCGGCUCAGGGGAGCUGCCGCGGCCGCCGCUCCGCGUCCCCACCAGCCCCGACAUCAGCGACUUCAGGGUGCACCCGUGGCGCUGAGGCGAGAAUGCGCACAAAGCAACGUUCAGCCCCAGCCCGCGGGCGGCGCCCCUCAGACACCUGCCUGCUGCCGCCUUCCCCCAGGGCUGCGGGGCCAGGGCUCGCCGCCGCCCUCUGUCUUGGCUGCGGCCGCCUCCGGAGGUGAGGAGGUGAUAGAAAGCACCCUGGACAGCGGUCACCUCAAGGCAGAGUGGACAGUGAGAGAGAGAGACAGAGAGAAAGGUCUUCCUUUGCCGUUGGUUCACCCUCCAAUGGCCGCCGCGGCCAGCGCACUGCAGACGGCGCACCGCGCCUAUCCGACAGCAGGAGCCAGGUGCUUUUCCUGGUCUCUCAUGGGGUGCAGGGCCCAAGUACUUGGGCCAUCCUCCACUGCACUCCCGGGCCACAGCAGAGAGCUGGCCUGGAAGAGGGGCAACCGGGACAGAAUCCGGCACCCCAACUGGGACUAGAACCCGCUGUGCCGGCGCCACAAGGCGGAAGAUUAGCCUACUGAGCCAUGGCGCCGGCCAAUAUACUCUAGCUCUUGAAUGCAGCAACUGUAAGUACUCAUAAAUAUCUGUUUCAAGACACAAGACAAAUGAUAGUGUAAAGAAGGGGAAUGGCUGAGGGUAACCAAGAAUGGAAUUUUUGCAAAUUGUCCAUUCUAGGCUUACCUAAAUAUCCUCAACAGAAACAGUCUGAGGCAGUGGGAGGAAGGCCUGGAGAUCUCAGUCAGGAAAAUUUUUCUCAUUCUAUUUUUGAAUUCAUGUUUCAAUUUAUACCAUUUUAGAUCUGUAGUCCAAAGAAAAAUAUUGUUUAAAGAAAUGUGUUUUUAAAAAUUUGAGUGUUCUAUCCUUAAAUUAUUUACCUACUACUUGAGUCAAAGAUUAUGUUUGUUUAUGUGCUUUGUAUCCAUACUGAGAACCAACAGUCAGGAAUAGUCAAGAGUGAUAUACAGUAAUGUUUCCAGGUGGUAGUUUUAUUGCAAGAAGCAUUUCACUUACUGCAAGAAUUCCUCAUGUAAAUAAUCUCACCAUAGGUGACAAAAGUGUGUGUGUGUGUACACUGCAGUUAAGAAUCUUGCCCCAGUAGAAUUACUCUCCACAUCUCUCUCCAUGUUUCUGAAAUGGUCAACAUGCUUGCUAUUAACAUUUGGAUAAUCCUAUUCCAAGUUAGUAGAUUCUGUUUAAGAAAACUAGUAUCACCGAAGUUUCUCAUGUUGCUCAAAGAAUUGUUCACUUUGGACCAUGUGAACACAGUAUCCCGAGAGAUCUAAACAAGUGUGCUCUACACAAGCAAACCCAGACUAGUGUGGUGACUCACAACUGCCAGACACUUUGAUGAAUCUCAGAGGGUUGGGGAAGAGAAACCUCUGCUGUAAUCUAUUUUAAAAUCAUAAUUCUUGGGGCUGGCAUUGUGGCAUAAAAGGUUCAUCCUCAACCUGCAGUGCUGGUAUCCCAUAUGGGUGCCAGUUUGAUUCCUGGCUGCCUCGGUUUCAAUCCAGCUCCCUUUUAAGGCCUUGGAAAUCAGUGGAAGAUUGCCCAAGUGCUUGGACCCCUGCACCCACAUGGGAGACCCAGAAGAAGCUCGUGGCUCCUGGCUCCAAUUGAAACAGCUCUAGCCAUUGCAGACUUUUGGGGAGUGAACCAGAGGUUUGGAGCUCUCUGUCUCUCCCUCUGUCUGUAACUGCAUUUCAAAUAAAUAAGUGCUUAAAAAAAUUCCUAAAAGUUGGAGUUUCCUUCCCUCUUUUUUUCUUUUUAAGUAUUUGCAUUGGUGCAAUUUCAGCACCCAUGGCCCUUCCUGAAAGUAGUAGUGUAUUUCCACCAAGAAAGCUAGUGUGGCAUUCUCCACUUGUUCUGAUGUCCACUUUCAUCACUCUCAUUUAAUAUACUAUUGGAAGUUUGAGGCAAAAUUCGGGAAGAGAAAUUGAAAUUUGAAAUUGCUAUGGAAGAAGUUAAAAUAUCUAUGUUGAUAUGCAUGACAGGAUGUACAUGGAAAAGACUAAACAUGCUAGCAAAAAGCAUUUGAACUGAUAUAUUAGAAGGCCAACAUACAAAAAGAGUAAUUUUUUUGUAUAUCAAUAAUGAACUGCCAUUUUUUGUUGUUAAUUUAAGGAAUACAAAUUUCAUAAGGACAAUGUUAGAAAUAUAUUCUUUCCACCAUACCCACCCUCCCACCCCUACCUCCUUCUCUCUCUCCCCUUGCCAGUCUCCAUUAAGAUUCAUUUUCAAUUAACUUUGUACACCUAAGAGCAACUCUAUACUAAGUAAAGAUUUCACAGCUUGCACACACACACACACACACACACACAGAAACUUUUUGAGAACUAGUUUUACAGUUAAUUCUCCUAAUAAAACUCAUUGAAGGGAGAGGUCCUACAUGUGGUGUUAGUGCACAGUUACUCCUGUUGUUAAUUUAACAAUUAAUAGUCUUAUGUGUGACAUCAGUGACCACCUAAAUCUCUUGACAUGAGCUACCUAGGCUAUGGAAGAAUUUUAAGUCCACUAACUCUGUUAGUAUUUGAACAAGGUCAUAAGCACAGUGAAAGCUCUUUCCUCCCUUUAGAGAAAAGUAUAUCCUUCUUUGAUAUCCACUUCAUUCUGCUGGAGUCUCACUUACAGAGAUCCUUCAUGUAGAACAUUUUUUGCUGCAGUGUCUUGGCUUUCCACGCCUGAAAUGCUCUCAUGUGCUUUUCAGCCAGACCAGGAAGCCUUAAGGGAUGAAUCUGAGGUCAGAGUGUUAUUAAAGUGAUUGUCAUUCUGUUAGUCAGCUGUCUGGACUGCUUCCCAUGUUGGAACAUUCUCUAUUUUAAAUUCUAUUAUUAUUACCAGCCACUAGAUCCUAUAUAUUUGAUCACUUUAACACUUAACAUGAUGACAUUAACAACUAAGAUGGCAUUUUCACCAUCAAGCUUAAUGGGAUUUGGAGUCCCAUGACAAGUUUUUAAACUGUACCCUUAGAAUUAAGUCCACAGGAAUGUAUGAAGAAUUAUAGAUCUUUACAGUUGUAAACUUCCUCCUCCCUCUUUUAUUCCCAUUCUUAUUUCUACCGAGAUCUAUUUUUAAUUGACUAUAUAUAUAUAUAUAUAUAUACAUAUAUAGUUAACUGUAAGUAAAGAGGUAAAAAAAGUGUAUGACAAUAAAAUAUAACAAAAAAAACUGUUCCUCAACAGUCAAAAUAAGGGCAGCUCAAGUCAUCCCUUGUAGAAGUGUCAAUUUCACUUAAACAAAUUUUGUUUUAGGUGCUCUAUUUGCACAGAUCAGAGAGAACAUAUGGUAUUUGUCCCUUUGAGAUUGGCUUUUUCACUAAGUAUGAUGUUUUCCAGAUUCAUCCAUAUUGUUUCAAAUGACUUGAUUUCAUUUUUUCUUUACUGCUGUGUAGUAUUCCAUAAUGUGUGAAUCCCAUUAUUUCUUUAUCCAGUUUUUGGUUGAUGAGCAUUUAUGUUGAUUCCAUGCCUUAGCUAUUGUGAAUUGAGCUGCAAUAAAAAUAGAGGUGCAGAUAACUCUUUUGUUUACUGAUUUCAUUUCCCUUGGGUAAAUUCCCAGGAGUGGGAUGGCUGGGUCAAAUGGCAGGUCUAUAUUCAGAUUUUUGAGGUAUCUCCAAACUGUCUUCCAGAGAAGCUUUACCAGUUUACAUUCCCACCAAGAGGGGAUUAGGGUACCAUUCCCCAAACAUCCUUGACAUCAUUUGUAGCUUGUUGAUUUCUGUAUGAAAGCCAUUCUAAUGGGGCUGAGGUGAAACCUCAUUGUGGAUUUGAUUUGUAUUUCCCUGACAGCCUGAUCCUUAACAAUUUUCAUGUGUCUGUUGGCCCUUUGGAUUUCCUGUUUUGCAAAGUGACUGUUUAAGUCCUUUUCCUGUCUCUUAAGUGGGUUGUCUGUUUUGUUGUUGUGGAGUUUCUUGAUCACUUUGUAGAUUCUGGUUAUUACUCCUCUAUCAGUUGCAUAGUCUGCAAAUUAUUUCUCCCAUUCUGUCAGUUGCCUCUUCACUUUGCUGAGUGAUUCUUUUGCCUUACAGAAACUUCAAUUUGGUGUAAUCCAUUUGUAAAUUUUGACUUUGACUGCCUGUGCCUCUGAGGUCUUUUCCAAGAAGUCUUUUCCUAUGCUAUUGUGAAUGGGUUUGAUCUUAGAAGUUGAAUAUCAGCUGUGGCACUUUCUGUGUCUACAAAAUCUGUUGAUUUUUUUGCAUUGACUUUAUAUCCUGCUACUUUAUAUAAGUUUUAAUAGUCUCUAAGUGGAGUCUUUUGGAUCCCCUAGAUGUAGAAUCAUGUCACCUGAAAAUAGGGAUUUUUUAACUUCCUCCUUCCCAAUUUGUAUCCCUUUGAUUUCUUUUUCUUGCCUAAAUGUUCUGGCUUAACCUUCUAGGACUGUAUUGAAUAGCAAUGGUGACAGUGGGCAUCCUUGUCGGGUACCCAAUCUCAGUAGGAAUGCUUCCAACUUUUCCCCAUUCAGUAGGACACUGGUCGUGGUUUAUUAAUAAAUUAACUCAUUUGUGUUGAGAAAUGUUUCUUCUGCUCCUAGUUUCUUAAGUGUUGUUGUCAUAAAUUGCCUUGAUUGUGUUGAGGAAUGUUACCUCUAAACCAAUUUACUUAGAGUUUUCACCAUGAAAGGAUAUUAUGCUUUCUCUGCAUCUAUUGAGAUAAUAUAUGGUUUCUGUUCAUCCUUUUGUUGAUGUUAUGUGUCAAAUUAAUUGAUUUGUGAAAGUUGAACCAUCCAUCUCACCUGGUCUGGGUGGAUGAUCUUUCUAAUAUGCUGUUAGAUUCUAUUGGCUAGAAUUUUGUUGAGGAUUUUUGCAUCUAUGUUCAUUAGUGAAAUUGAUCUGUAAUUUUCUGUUGCAUCUUUUUCAGGUUUAGAAAUUAAGGUGGUGCUGGCUUCAUAGAAAGAAUUUGGAAGGAUUCCCAACCUUUCAAUUGUUUCGAAUAACUUGAGAAGAAUUGGAGUUAGUUCUUCUUUAAAUGUCUGGUAGAAUUUGGUAGUGAAGCCAUGAGGUUCUGGGCUUUUCUCUAUUGAGAGGGCCUUUAUUACUGAUUCAAUUUCCAUCUUGGUUAUGGGUCUGUUGGUUUUCUAUAUUUUUAUGGCUUCAUUUAGCUUGUAUGUGUCCAGGAAUCUAUCCAUUUCUUCUAGGUUUCCCAGUUGUUGGCAUAUAGCUCUUUGUAGUAAUUUCUGAUGAUUUUUUAUUUCUGUGCUGUCUUUUGUUACAUUUUCUUUUUCAUAUCUAGUUUAGUUGAUUUGGGUCUUUUUUUUUUUUUUGGUUAGCUGGGCCAAUAGUAGGUCAAUUUUGUUUAUUUUUUCAAAAAUAGCUCUUUAGUUUGCUGAUGCUUUGUAUUGUUUCUUGAAUUCAAUUUUGUUGAUUUCUUCUCUAAUUUUAAUUAUUUUUUCCUACUAGUUUUGGCUUUGGUUUGCUGUAGUUUUUCUAGAUCCCUGAGAUGCGUUAAUAGCUCAUUUAUUUGGUGCCUUUCCAAUUUUUGAUGUAGGCACCUAUUGUUAUGAACUUUCCUCUCAACACUGCUUUUGCUGCAUCCCAUAGGUUUUGAUAUGUUGUCAUCUUCAUUUGUUUCCAGAAAUUUUUUUAUAUCUCUGUUGAUUAUUCUAUGACCCAUUAUUCAUUCAGGAGCAUGUUCAGUCUCUAAGAGUUUGCAUAUGUUCUAGAGGUUCCUGGGUUGCUGACUUCCAGUUUCAUUGCAUUGUUUUCUGAGAAGAUGCAUGCUAUGAUUUAUAUUUUUUGAAUUUACUGAGACUUGAUUUAUAGUUGUAUAUGGUGAAUCCUAGAGAAAGUUCCAUGCAUUGCUGAGAAGAAUGCAUAUUAUUCCGCAAGUAUAGGAUGAAAAAGUCUGUUGAUAUCUGUUAGGUCCAGUUGGUCUACAGUGUCCAAUAAAUCUGCUGUUUCCUUGCUGAGUUUCUGUCUGGUUGAUCUGCCCAAUGCUGAAAGUAAAGUAUUGAAGUCCCCAAAUACUACUGUAUUGGAAUCUAAGUCUCUCUUUAAAUCUCAUAACAUUUCUUUUCCAUAGCCAGGUGCCCUGUAAUUAGGUGCAUAUACAUUUAUAAUAAUCACAGCUUCCUGUUAAAUUGAUCCCUUAAUCAUUACAUAGUGACCUUCUUUGUCUCUUUUAAAAGUUUUUGUGUUAAAGUCUAUUUGGCUGAUAUUAGGAUGGCUUACACCAUCUGUUUUUUGGUUUCUUUUGGCAUGGAAUAUCUUUUUCCAUCCUUUCAAUUUCAGUCUGUGUGCAUCUUGUUUGGUGAGAUGUGUUUCUUAUAUGCAGUAAAUAGAUAGGUUUUGUUUUUCAAUGGUUCAGCCAGUCUGUGUUUCCCAUCUGGAUAGUUGAGGCCAUUUACAUUCAAGGUGUCUAUUGAUAAGUAACAACUUUGUCCUGCCAUUUUCCCAAAAAUAUUCCUAUUUUUUCCUUUUAAUUUCCCAUGAACUUUUACUGAUUUUCUUUCUUCACCUUCUUUCAUAGUGAUGAGAGUGUUUCUGUGUUUCUGUGUGCAACACAUCCUUAAGCAUCUUUUGUAGGGCUGGACGGGUGGUGUCAAAUUCUUUCAAUUUCUGAUUGUUAUGAAAAGUCUUUAUUUCACCUUCAUUCAAAAAUGAGAGCUUUGGAGGGUAUAGUCUUCUGGGUUGUCAGUAGUUUUCUGCUAAGACUUGGAAUAUAUCUCGCCAAUCUUUCCCAGCCUGUAGAGUUUCUGAUGAGAAGUCUGCUGUGAGUCUAAUUGGAGAUACUCUGAAAGUAAUCUGGUUUUCUCUGUGCACAUUUUAGAAUCUUUUCUUUAUGUUUUACUGUGGUGAGUUUGAUUUACAAUAUGUUGUGGUGAAGAUCUUUUCUGAUCAUUCUAUUAGGUGUUCCAUGUACUUGCUGUACUUGGAUGUCCUUUUUUUUCCUCUAAAUUAGGGAAGUCUUCCGUUAUUAUUUUACUAAUCCUUUCUCUAUUUCCACACCUUCAUGAACUCUUAGAAUCCAUAUGUUCAGUCAUUUGAAUGUAUCUUAUAGAUUCUCAACAAUGUUUUUUUUUUUUAGUUUAUUUCCUCCUCUUGUUUUUGGUUUGACUGUAUAAUAUCUUGUUAUUUGUCUUCUACAUCGAUAUUCUUUCUUCUGCUUGACCAAUUCUGUUAAGGCUUUCCACUGCAUUUUUAUCUGUUGUAUUGAAUUCUUCAUUUCAUUUGACUUUUCUUUAAGAUCUCAAUUUCAUGGAAUAAAUUUUCUUUUUAUGUCCUGUAUGGAUUUCAGUAGUUCAUGCAUUUGCUUCUUAUUACUUCUAUGUAAUUUUAUCAUCAUUUUAAAAAUUUCAUUUCUUGCAUUUCUUCCAUCUAAUUAGUUUCUUGUUUUUUAAAUUUAUUUAUUUAUUUGAAAGUCAGAGUUACACAGAGACAGGGUAGGCAGAUAGAGGGAGAGAGAAGUCUUCCUUCCGAUGGUUCACUCCCCAGUUGGAUGCAAUGGCCAGAGCUAUACCAAUCUGAAGCCAGGAGCCAAGAUCAGGAGCCAGGAGCUUUUUCUAGGACUCCCACAUGGGUGCAGGGGCCCAAGGACUUGGGCCAUCUUCUACUGCUUUCUCAGGCCAUAGCAGAGAGCUGGAUCAGAAGUGGAGCAGCUGGGACUCAAACUGCUGCCCAUAUGGGAUGCUGGUGCUUCGGGCCACGAUGUAAACCUGCUGCACCACAGCACUGUUCCCCCAUCUCAUUAUUUUCACAAUAUAGUAUUGUAUAGAUUUAUUUAUUGUACAGAUUUAUUCAUUUAUUGUACAAAUUUAUUUAUUGUACACAAUAUAGUAUAGUACAGAUCUCAAUAGUUCAUGCAUUUACUUCUGAUUACUUCUAUCUAAUCUUAUGAUAAUUUUUUGAAUUCCAUUUUUUGCAUUUUUUCAUCUCAUUAUCUUCACAAUAUAGUACUGAAGUGUUUUGUUCUUUUAGGGGUAUUGUGUUGUCUUCCUUAUUCUUGUUUCUAUUUUAUUUUUUGACAGGCAGAGUUAGACAGUGAGACAGAGAGAGAGAGAGAGAGAGAGUUAUAGACAGUGAGAGAGAGACAGAGAGAAAGGUCUUCCUUCCAUUGGUUCACUUCCCUAAUGGCCGCUAUGGCUGGUGCUGUGCCAAUCUGAAGCCAGGAGAAAGGGCAGCCGUGACACAGUCUCAUGCAAGUUCUUAACUCAGGGAUAGAUGUAAUGUGAUCAGGAGACUGGCCCACUGGGAGGGUCAGAAUGUGAUGGUGUCUGGAGAAUUAUCAUUUGACAUAAAGGAACCUCUUCCCUGAGGCCUUGCCAAGAGAGCUCUCAAAUCUGAAAUCUGUAGCUCAGUUCUAUUGCUAUCCCAGUGCAGCAUAUGGUGAGCUAGUUUUGAACUAAAGUCAGGAUAACUGUGCAAGACUACAGGAGAAAUGGAAAAAGGGAGAUGUAGGGGAGAGUCAUUGAAGGAGCUACAUUUCACAUACCCGUGGCUCCUGACACCAGAUUCAUGGCAUGAGGAUAUACAGUGCUGACAACCUGGGAAAUAUCAAAGAGUCUAACUGUGUUAGAGUACAGGAUAUGUGACAGCACUUAAUGAAAUAAAAAUUUGAAAAGUUUGAUAAAAUUGAAAAAUCUCUGGUGAAACUAAUCAAAGAAAAUAGAGACAAGGCAUCAAGAAAGCUACAUAGGGAAUAAAAAGGGGAGCACACUGUAGAUAUUAGAAUAGUAAGAUUAUACUUGGAGCAGUUUGAUGCCAAGACAUUUGAAAUUGUAGAUAAAAUGGACAAAUACUUGGGAAAAUACAACUCACUAAAAUAGAUACAAGAAAUAGUUUUAAACAAUCCUAUAUCUAACAAUCUGAUUUACAACUUGAAAACAUCCACAGAGAAAACUGUCAGUCAAUGUGGCUUCACUAGGGAGUUCUAGCUUACAUUUAAGGGGAAAAAAUAAUAACCAAAUUAAACAGACUCAGAGAAUACAAAAAGAAAGGUAAUACAACCUAGCUCAUUUUGUGAAGCCAACAGUUGAAAUUAAUAUUAUGAGAAAAAAAAAGCAUAGCCAAUCACACUCAUGGCCUGGAUACAAGAACCAUAAACCAAACUAUCAACAGAAUCCAGCAGCUUUCUAUUAAGAAGGUAAUAUAAGUACCAUGUGCUAACCGACUGUGUCACUCCCCCCAUGAUGCCAUCUCCCAUGCUGUGAUGCAACCAAGGAGCUUUACCAGGGCCCAAACACAUGGGGUUGCCUGAUCCUGGACUUUCAGCCUUCAAAUUUGUGAUCUAAAUAAACCACUUUUAUUAUACAGUUUCUAGUCUUUGGUAUUUUUGCUACCACAACAGAAAAUGGACUACAAAACUAAUGAGAAGAUAAAGUAUAAAAGAUUAUUGAAGGACAGACAAAAUGAUUCAAAUAAAUAUAACCUAGUUGUCAGUUCUCUCAAAUUAAUCAAUAAUUCAGUGCCUUUCCAAUGAAAAUCCUAAACAUAUUGUGAAAAUUGACAAAAUUAUUCUAAAAUUGAAUGUAAGAAUCAAGUUGUAAGAAGAACCAAGGGAUCAGGGAAAAGAUGGCAGCUUAGAAAUAGGAAAAUCCAAGUCAUGUGGGGCAAAAUAGGUAGUUAAAAGGGAGAGAGGUUAUAUAGCCUUGGAAACUCAUGACUGGUGCAUAGGGAGAUUACUGAUGCCAUAAACAGGAGUGUCAAUUUGUAAAGUCAACAACAGGAGUCACUGUGCACUUACUCCUCAUGUAGGAUCUCUGUCCUUAAUGUGCUGUACACUGAGGCUUAAUGCUAUAACGAGUACUCAAACAGUAUAUUUCACUUUGUGUUUCUAUGGGGGUGCAAACGAUUGAAAUCUUUACUUAAUGUACACUAAACUGAUCUUCUGUAAAAAAAAAAAAAAAAAAGAAAUUAUCAAUUCCCAACUUGACUCUCACUGGGAUUAAACAUGACAAUAGGUCUGAUCUGAUUUCAUCAUCAUUUAAAAAAAAUCAUCU